CGCACGCAGGGCAGAUUCGGCGAGCGCAGCCCAGAACGAUGCGUGAAAUGUGGCAUACUAGCGUUCUAUAUGCACCAUUAACCUGCUCGUUACGAGACAAGAAAGGAAAAUAUUUGCUUUGAGACCCAGUCCUGUAACUAUAGGAGCAAUGGCAAACUGCACUGCAGUACACAUCAAAGAACAGGAGAGCUCUUUGGAUUGCAGCUUGUCGAGCGAAUCGCCCAGUAGGAGCUCGCAGAACGGAACAGAGCCUGACAAUGAUGUUCCAGUCAAACCACACUGGUCCUGUAAGUGGACACAUCGUUACCAAAUGAUCCACUGUGGCCACGUUGGUCACCCAGGCCAUAUGGUCCAUCAUUUGAAGUGCACUCUCUCAUGCUUCUGCAGAUGAUGUUUCAGUUGAAAUGCCUGACCACAGGUUCCCCAUCUGAGUGAACCCUUUGGAGCACACUGGGCACACGUAAGGCUUCUCUCCCGUGUGAGAUCUCUCAUGGUAUUUCACCUUAGCACUGCUGUCAUUGGAAUAAUCGCAGAACCGGCACCGAUGUCUUCUUCCCGCGUGGGAGCGCUUGUUCUUGUGCUGCUCCCUCAGGAACUCCUCCGACGAGAACGCACUCUCGCACCAGGGGCCUUGUAGACGCUCCUCGACGUCCCCUGCAAGGCACAGAAAAGAAAAAUCACGCUCCCAUCGAAUGGUAUCGGGGAAAUGCUUUGAACUGCACUGUAACGUGUAGUACCGUAAGAACUAGCCCUUAUCCUUCGGGCAAUCUGAUGAUAAAUGUUCCAAAGUGCACCUCAAAAAUUUACAGAUUCAGUUGCAGUUCAGUCCUCGAGCACGGAAAUAACUGUCCGAACUGCUUUUUUUAGGUAGUGGUUUUUAGUUUUAGUUUUUAGUUAGUUCCUCGUUAGUUAAUUCUGUUCCUGGCACAUUCAAUGUGUCCCAGGAACAGAAUUUAGCAUGAGUGCAUUCAGUCAACAUUUUUUUUUUAAGAUCUAGAGCACGAAUUUAUUUAAGAUACGCAGGAUGAGUUGAUGCGAUGCAUAUGCGUUGUUGUAUUCACUCAGUAGCAAGAAAAUGUUAGUUACAUGCGGAAGUGUGACUCGUCGUCGACAGCUUCGAUUACGAGAGGGUUGAAUUAUGCGAGAUGUAGCUCAUUAUGCGAGCUCAAUUAUGUGGGCCCAAGGCCAAAAGGAUUACAAAUAUCGUGUACCACAUUAGCGUGCUGAGUAAUUUUCAGUCGUAACAUUUGCACCACGAGGCAGCGUUUGUGCUCAACUAGGGUGUACUUAACACGUUUCUUAUCAUCCGUGUCCUAGAAAAAAAUCGUUGGACAAGCCAAGUCCAGAACACGCGUUUCAUUAGUUCAGGGUCAGUUCCCAGAUCGUGAAAAUAGUAGUCAUCUGGUUCGGCUCUGGAGAAAAUAGCUGCCUGGAUCCAGUUCGACACCCUUCCCACGGCUUCUCACACAGACACUGAAUACUUUUCCGUAGUCAUCCCAUGACGUUGAGCCACAUUAUCAUCACCAUCAUCAUCAUUAGAUAGUGUUAACGUCAUUCAUUUCACGUGGAAUAUAUUUUUUGCAUUUUGGGGGUAGGUUUGAGGUAAAAAAAGAAUUCCCAGUUAACCUAAAUUUGUGACAGAUCUGGACUCAUAUCGGUCGAUCGCUUCAGUAGUCAACCUGGGGGUAGGCUUGAAUUACUAAUGAUUCCGAAACAAGCAACACCAACACGCUGUUCAUCUUCUAGUUCUCCUCUAAUUCCAAGUCUUUCCUUCCAUCAUCUAUGGGGCCCACAACAUUCAUAUUCAAUGUCCAACGCCACUGUACUGUACCUCCAAUUUGCGGGUACGUAAAUUCACAAAUUCUUCACGCACACAAAGAAAUAGUUCCACUCGAAAAAUUCAACUUGUACUAUUCUCCACUCAGAACUGCUUCAAGUCAUCUCAUAUUCCUCUGAAAUAUGAAAAGCACUAUUUUUUCUAUACUACAGAAGAAAUCUGCUGUAUAUCACGACAUUAUUUGCUUCUAAUCUGUUUUACGGCUCAUGACAUGAACCUUUUCUUCCCCAAUUUUGAAGAAACAGAAAACCAGAAAACGCGAGGGUGUAUUAGCGGCCGUAAGUGCUGGACUGACUCAAUAAUCGAGCAAACCCUCUGUUAACUCGUUGGUGUACUGUCGAAGCAAGCUAUGUGUUCACACUUGCAAAGCACAAAACAUGUGUAGCGUGAAGAGUGUGUGAGAUGAUUUGAUGUGUCCUUGUCAACUAUUGACGUGACGGGUGUACCUGAACUGAUAGGAGCACAAAUAGGACUACACGUAGAGCCUAUUUAAUUGACAGUCCUUCUUCACAUAGCACAUGGAAUGUACAAAGGUGCUGAGCUCCAGUACCUGCGCCACGUUACAUCACUAGCAACUUCAUUCUAUGCACUGUGCUCAAUGUACAAUUACACAUUUGCUCUCCUCAUGAUGGACGAUAAGGGAAAGUGUCGACCGCACAGUUCUCGUACCACAUGGAAGGAUGUGGUCUUACACUUGGAGUAAAACGAUGUUUGACUAAAUUAGGGAUAGACAAUUACUACCAUCCCUUACCCCCGCUUAAUGGUUUCAUCGUGACUCCCCACUUUUCCUCCCUGCAUUCUUAAGCUAUGGUACCACUCAGUGACACACACACACAAUUGUUCUUUUUACAUUUUUCCCUAUUUCCCAAUCCCUUCCCCGCUUAAUGUUUUUACCGUGACUCCCUCCUUUUCCUCCCUAUGUUCUUCAGCUACGGUACAACUCAGUGGUAUUCACAAUUUUUUUAAAAACAUUUUCCCUAUUUCCCUCUUCCCAAUCCUUUCCCCGCUUAAUGUUUUCAUCAGGACUUCCCCCUUUUCCUCCCAACGUUCUUAAGCUACGGUACAACUCAGUGGUAUUCACAAUUUUUUUAAAAACAUUUUCCCUAUUUCCUUCUUCCCAAUCCCUUCCCCGCUUAAUGUUUUUAC